rnacentral:rRNA from 1 species
ACGGGAGGCAGCAGUGGGGAAUAUUGGGCAAUGGGCGAAAGCCUGACCCAGCAACGCCGCGUGAAGGAAGAAGGCCUUCGGGUUGUAAACUUCUUUUAUCAGGGACGAAGGAAGUGACGGUACCUGAUGAAUAAGCCACGGCUAACUACGUGCCAGCAGCCGCGGUAAUACGUAGGUGGCAAGCGUUAUCCGGAUUUACUGGGUGUAAAGGGAGCGUAGGCGGUAUGCUAAGUCUGAUGUGAAAGCCCGAGGCUCAACCUCGGUACUGCAUUGGAAACUGGUAAACUAGAGUGUCGGAGGGGUAAGUGGAAUUCCUAGUGUAGCGGUGAAAUGCGUAGAUAUUAGGAGGAACACCAGUGGCGAAGGCGGCUUACUGGACGAUAACUGACGCUGAGGCUCGAAAGCGUGGGGAGCAAACAGGAUUAGAUACCCUGGUA